UACGUAGGGGGCAAGCGUUGUCCGGAAUCAUUGGGCGUAAAGCGCGCGUAGGCGGUUCGGCAAGUCUGCUGUGAAAGUCCAGGGCUCAACCCUGGGAUGGCGGUGGAUACUGUCGGACUAGAGUACGGAAGAGGCGAGUGGAAUUCCCGGUGUAGCGGUGAAAUGCGCAGAUAUCGGGAGGAACACCAAUUGCGAAGGCAGCUCGCUGGGACGUUACUGACGCUGAGACGCGAAAGCGUGGGGAGCAAACAGG
rnacentral:rRNA from 1 species